rnacentral:sRNA from 1 species
CCCUAGCCCGGAUAGUAGCGGUAUCCUUUGCCUGCUUUCUUUAAGCGGGCAAAGAUAUAAGCGGAUAGCCGGAAAUUGC